GAAAAUUUCGGAUGUCAUUCCGGUAGAUCGAACAGUGAAAGUAGCAUCACUGUUGAGAGAACGGUCGAUUAGUGGCCAAGUCUGAGCACGUGGGCCUAGUAGUACCUCAAGGUGAGGUAGGCGGUUGUGCUCGUGCGGCCGGUAUGCAUAGGCAAGAUUGCCUAAUGCUGGACUUCGUGUGGAACAUUGUAGAGGCGUAGAGCGCUCGAGUGUAGAGACCCGUAGAGUGCGGAUGUGGAUUCAGCCGAGAGAGUGUAUUGGCAGUAGCACUUGAGCAUUGCUAGGUGCGAAGCGUGCCAUGGAUCACUCGUGGGACUGGUGACUCGCACUAGGUGCAUAGGAGCCGAUAUUGGUUGGCGUUGACUCCGGAGAGUAUGUCCGUGUAGGACGACGACGACGCAGUGGGUAGUGUUUCGGGAAACGACUCCGUGCUGGACUGCAUUUGUGGAACUGUGGAGGCCUGGGCGCUUUGGCAGGCGCAGUCAGCUGUGAGUGAAGCGCCGAUACCUACGGGUAAAGGCAGAGUCUGGUCAGGAACGGUAGUCGAGUUUAGGCCCGGAGCGUAGCAAUGCCACGUAAUAAGAUUGUGUGACCGAAUUAACAACCGAGUAUUGUUAGUGACCCCAAAACCUCGAGGCACUUGACGUGGUUUGGUCUUAGUUGCCCUCGAUUGGAGUGUGUGCGAAUUCCCAGAGAAUUUGCGCCGACAUGAUUGGUCUGCUAUUUGCGAAGCCUGAGAUACGCUGCGUAUGAGAUCAAGGUUAUAGUGAUUUGGUCUACUGCCCUACUGUAGGCUUGGUGGCCUUUGUCCAACCUGUGGAGACCAAAGAAGCGAUCUUGGUAGAUUACCUUAUCAAAGUAAUUUUGCUUGGAUUCACGAAACGAAGCGCUCGCGUGGAUGCUCGUGCGCAAAGUAGUUCGAUGUUGACCGUACGCGCAUAUGGGUAUCAGAAGAUGAACGUGGCUCUUGGUGAGACCUUGUGCGAGUAGUAAGCCACGUGGACUCGUGAUAUAUAUGGGGAUGUGCUAAGUAUCACGGCAUCCUCACACUUAACUACGUUUAGUGGUCAGUGCCAAAUUAAGAGCACUCCCGACGAUGAUGCUAUCGGGUGAAUAUUGCUUCUAACAAUGUUCGGUGACAAUUGGGAAUGUAUUUCCCAAAAGGGAAGGCCCAGUGCAAAGAAGAGUAUCUUUGUGUAAACGAUAGCCGAGUGGUGUUUGGAGCGCGUGAGCUGUCGAGUACGACUUCGCGCUGCUAUUAUGACUUGCAAACUCGCUGAGCACUUUUGUAUCAACACUUUGCAAAUAGUGUAGGAUAAUACCCACAGGUCCUCCAAUAUCGAGAGACUCGCUUGCUGGAACCGACGUAUAGUGUGAAGCCCUUUGGAGGUGGGAGAAUGAAGUUAAGUGACCUCACAAUUGCUCAUGGAGCUAAUUGAGCGUGAUUUGAAUUUCGCUGACGAAAUUCAUUUAAGGGGUGGAGAAUGUAACAUACAGAUUUUGGUAUAAAAUAAAAAUAAAAUAAAAUAGUGUGAGUAAUAUUUAUUGAUUGUAGGAAUUAAACAUAAGUCAGAAAUAUUUGCUGAAAUCCGAAAAUGAAAUAGAAAUCUAGUAAUUUCUGUUGAAACGACAGAUAAAUUAGCAAGAAAAUGCACAGUCUCAGAAAAUUAUGAAAAUUGGUGAAUAAGUCAGAAAAUAUUUGUAUAUGAGCCUAAUUUAAAGUUUCAUAUUUUUCUGACAACCGUAGAGUGAGAAAUAAAACGCGACAGCUAUCUGUAAAGGAUUACAGUUCGUACACGUUUUCAAAGUGACCAGAACGGGUCGAACUGAAACAAAAUAUAUUCUACCUCAGUACACGUAACUGAGCCUGCCGUCAAAUUUGAGCUCAAAAAAAAUGACAUUCAGAAGAGCUCCAACUGUUUGAACUGCAAAAAAUUACCUGAAGUGAUAGGAUUUUGGGGUGUAAUGGUAUAUAAGACAGCAUGAUGCUUCUUCUUCCUCCUACAGCCGUGCACACGCCCCACACACAGUCGUUGCCGCAACGCACACAUGGAGAGAGAAGAGAACUCUCCUUUCUCUGCCUAGAGAUGCCUUCAUGUCUCUCUAAAUAUAUGCUCGGCUCAAUUAAUAUUCGCGGGGUUAGUGAGAAGAUGCGCGAACAAAGCGUUGGAGGCGACGGAUUAAGCUUUCGUACGCGCCCCUUGGAGGUGGCGUGUUUUCGUCCGCGGCGUUGCACAAUGGAGGUAAGCUUUUUAGAAUUUGGCUUAAUCCUUAUUCUAAAGUGUUCUAAUAGCCUCUAAUAGCAUUCUAAACAUGUCUCUCUCCUUAUUAAUUUGCGUUAUAUUAGAGAAUUUAAUUGCAUGUUAGGGCUCCGAAAUGGGAGUUUUGUAAAAUAUAUGGGUUUGAUCUCAUUUGAACCCUUCGUAACCAAAUUGAUAAAGCGUAACAACCGUUGGCGAAGACGCGUUCGGCAAUCCCGACUUAGGCCGUUACAAAAGUAUUAAAAAUGAUUUUACGGCCUUUCGGGUCCGCCGGGAGGCGCGAGGCGGACGUUCGUCAAAAAUCUGGAAAUGGAUUUGAGGUUAUCCGUGGACGGCAUAACCGAAACUAUAUUUUCGGGGGUGCGAAGCGGAGUCACGAUGAGGCGGGACAGUUGCAGACAUAUCCGGCCGUGCCGACUAACGGGUGCCGCGGGCGGGGCGGGCGGCGAGGGAGCGGCGGCCGGGGGGGGAGGGCGGCGGGGGCCGAUCUGCAAGUGUCGAAACAAUCGGACUGCGAAAUGAGGUGUGUUUAGCUUACACAUCGACUAGGUCGCCCUUUAUGUCUGAGAAAUGAGAUUUGAUAUUGAUGCAUAUUGACAUAAUAUAAAGAUGUAAAAAGAAUGCAUGUUAACAUACUAAGAAAUGCUAGAAUAAAUGAAUAUAUUAAAUGCUAUGAAUGGCAUAAUAUACAAAGGGCGUGAAAUGUUAACAUUAUCAAAACAUCGUAAAAGGAAUGUAUAUGACAUUUGUAGAGAUGCUAAAUGUAAUGCAUAAUGAAUUAAGUGGCUAAAAGAAUGCUGCAGAUGCUAAGUAUGGACCAUUAUUUUGGAUAAUGACUCAUAUUAAUGUUGACAAAUCAGUGAUGCUAUGGUAUAGUGUGCAAUGAUGAUAUAAUUAAUUACAUAUUGUGGAUUAUCUCUAAAUGAAAAAACAUAUCACUUUUUUGUUGAUGAAAUAUUGCCAUUUGUCGGAACAUAGUGACAAUCUACAUAUAUAUAUAUCGAGUGGCAAUUAAACCUAGCAAACAACUUGUGUGCGAUCAUGUAUAAUUCUGGUGUCAUUCAUGUAUGUUUUAGGAUCCUAUUAUUGUGUAAAUGAUGAAGAUUCGGGACUUGAACAUUAGUAAACAAGGGUACAGUGACAAAUAGAAGUACAUGAUGCACAAAAGUGAUUGUUAAACAUAGUUUAAACCAAUAUGACAAUUGGUCCAAGUUGCAUAGAGAGUGCAUGAUUAAAUAGGUAGAGACCUACAUCGACAUUGGCAUUGUGACGAGUGGUCUAAUGAACCUCAAAUAGCUGAGGAUUGGAUCGAUACUCCACGUUACGUCUUGGCUUGAGGGGAGGUAGCUCCCCCUCGGCGCUGCGCUCCGCGGCAGUUGGUCACUACUGGGCGUCGGUAGAAGUCCCCCCCACGAUGGACGUCCCUUCAGGGAGGUCGAGUCCCCUGUUAAUUAAGGGGAUUUUGGUAGUGAGUUACUUGGGUUAUCAUGGUUAAUCCGGUAAAUUGGUCAUUAGCCAAAUUGAGAUGGUACAACCAAGUAUGCAUAUGAUAUGGAUUUGGUAUCCUAGUGAGUAGGGAUUAGCUGAGGUGUAUGUGAGACGUCUCAAUGCCCUCGACCUUGGUUCUAAGCUGCGGUACUCGCAGACGGAUUGACUCAAGACCGGUCGGUGUAGCCUUGUAAGGUAGAUGACAACUUUAAUGAUUAAAACGGUGAUUCACAAGAAUCUAAGAUAAGAGGAAACUUAGAUAUGAAUGGAUGACUACUGUUAACAAUAAUUGAAAGUAGUGUCUAAAGAACUACUUAAGUUUGUUUGCAUAGUUGGCAUUACUUGGCAUGAUUUGCAUAAGCAUUGCAUAUAUUGCAUUUCGUGUACACAUGGUUUAUUAAGUUGCAUAAUAAAGAUAUAUAUCUAUCUGUUUAUUGAACUAACUUGCAGUUGCCGUCCCUUGGACGUUAUUGGUCGAUAGCUUUUUCCUUGGGUGUUGAUACCCACUUGGAACCAUGGAGUUGGUUCUCACCCCACUGUUUUGGGGUGUUAACAGGUUUCGCCUGUGAGCGCGGGCCGGCGCAGGCGAGGGCGUAGCAUUAUAGUUAGCGGCCCACCACCGAGACCAAGAGAUAUGCGGAUACCUUCUGAGUCGGCCUUACUUUAGGGAUGAUCAGAAAAUGAAGGAAUAAAAUUGUAUAUAAUUUGUAUAAUCUAUGUUAAGACCGGAUUGUAUUUGGAAGAUAAUAAAAGCUAGUUGUAAGAUUUCAAAUGAGAAUUGUGAUGUAAAAAUCAUGAAACUGAAUGAAGAAUGAAUAAAUAUAGGAUGUGUUUAUGUUGUUUGAUACUUCCAUUAAUGCAUCUUGAUUGAAAUGGUCCUGGUUGAACUUCGCACAUCAUGUAUGAUUGCUAUGCUUGAACGUACAGGAGAGAUGCUGUCCCAGUACACGGGGAAACUGUCGUCUCGCACGCCGAUCUGUUGGCGGCGCCGCGACCCGGCCAAUAGGCGUGGUCCGGCGGCGUGAAAUUGAGUGAUCAAGACGGAAAUGAACGAAGAGCGAAUAAUUCCUGCCGACGACUCUGAGGAGGACGAGCCGGAUGGACACUUUUGUUCCGCGAGAGGUAUUGCUAGGAAAAGGAUACAUGGAAAGGCAAGGAAAAGAACCCUGGAAUAAGGCAAAGGAAAGCGGCUGAGCCGUCCGGUCGCCGCAACGUCUUGAAGGUGUUGAAAUCUCGAGAACCAGGUUCUGAGCUCACCCACGUCACAGUCUACAGAGUUUACCAUCUGCGCGGUCAAAAUGACUCAGUCGAAACAUUUCCCUGCAUUUGGUGAGCGAGAUGUUGGGUGCCAGUAUCAUUAGCUGUGUGCCGAGCUUUCAGAAUUUAUUUGAACAGCGGAAAAUCCUUCAUCAGAUUUGUGAUUCCCAAUGCAAACACGGUUUUGUUUGGAGUUGAUCAGAAAUUAUAGUGAAGGUCAGGUCACCUAAUGUGACUCCGCACGGUCGGCCCUACGUAUUUAAAGACUUCCGUACGUGGUGUUGAGUUAUCCAUCACUCCGAUACAUACUACGGUGCUAGGUAUCGAAGUCUAAGAUGACGAGUGAGUAUCUACAAGCUGGGAUUCGACGCACUUCGCGAUUGAUAUCGUUGUAGUGAACACUAUUGCAUGCCGGGGUAAACUGAGUCAAAUCGCAAUUAUGUUAUUCCAAGAUUUCAAAUAUGAGUACCGUUUUCUUAACCUUCGUGGUUUGCUACAACAUUCUGCCUCUCGCAAACACGAAGAUUCUGAGGUGGGAUCGUAUUCUGUAUAUGUAUCUCUUGGGAAGGCCAGAUAUUGUGAGUGCAAAAAAUAUUAACAUGAAUAUUCCGUUUCUGAUCUGGCGGAGGAUGGCAAAAGACAUCAAAACUUCUGGACAAAAUGAAAGGCUGCCAUUUCCAUUGAUAAUCAUGAGGAUUCUGCGACUUCGUGAUGUGGAUUUCCGGUGUACAUCUUAUGAGCAUAGUUUGGGUCGUAUAAAUGAACGGACAUUUGUGAAGUCCUCGGUGCAGCUUCGUACACCGUCUCAGCGUGCUUCUUCCCCUCAUGCUGCUCCACCUCCUGCUACUGCUACUUCUUCAGGUCCUUCUAUGGACAUUUCCGAGGAAGAUAUCUCCGUUUCCUCUGUGUAUCGUGAGCAACAACGUCUAUCUGAGGAGCUUCAGAAAUUGUCUACGGAGCAAGCUGCGAUUCGGAAGGAUGUGAGCAAGAUGAAGUGCUUAUUGAAUAUGAUUUUUGACAAGUUAGGAUGUUGCCGAGCAGAUUUACCUCUAGGGGAUGCUUCCGAUUAGGAGUUACCAGGUUCCUUCUUUUAUCAUUUUGGCGCUUUCUGACAAAAAGGGAGAGAUGGAGAUGGUGGUGGUUCUUGAUGGUCUUGAUGAUGAUGACGCAUGCAUUUUGCUUAGAUGAUGCAUAUGGUGGUGGUUCUUGAUGGUCUUGAUGAUGAUGACGCAUGCAUUUUGCUUAGAUGAUGCAUUUAGCUUAGCUUUGCUUAGUUAUUUUAGUCUUGAUGAUGAUGACGCAUGCAUUUUGCUUAGAUGAUGCAUUCAGCUUAGCUUUGCUUUUUAGUUGUGUAAAUUUGACUUGUGCUUGACUAUGAACUUUGACUUGCUGAACUAUGACUUGUUACUUUAUGAUAAGUUUACUUGAAUCUUCAUUAUGUUUUAAGAAUGUUUUUGCAGGAAUAAUUCAAGACUUCAAGACUCUAUGUCUAAGUCAUAGAGUUUGUAUUAAGGUUGGAAAAGUGUAAAUUUCGUUUAUUGGAUUGAUCAUGCAGGAGAUUAUCGUUUGGUGAUUGCGAUGAUCUUCUUUUUAUUAUUUAUUAGUUGUGUACGAACUUUGUAAUAUAUUUUGUCACGAAAUCGCCAAAGGGGGAGAUUGUUAAGGAUUUUAUAGGUUGGCGGAUUUCGUAAUGUUGAAUGGAGUCUUGAAGAGUUGAUUGCAGAAGAUUGAAGAAAAGAUCUAAAUUGAAGGAAAAAGACUCACUCGUAAAGUUCGGCACCUAAGGUAUGAAGAAAAGAUCAUUUGUGAUGAAGAUAUUUGAUUAGAAUAAGUUCAGAAGGCUUAGAUUGCUUUAAAAAUACUUUACUGAACUUUUCUGUGUUCAGGGACCGGUCCCUGAGGUCAAGAGACCGGUUCCCCUAAGGUCCUCACUGCGUGAGCUUUGAUGCAACCGGUCCCCUGAGAUGAGAGACCGGUUCCCGAACCUUGGUAUUUCUGUCGCGCAGCGAGGGACCGGUCUCAAGCUUGAGAGACCGGUUCCCGAACGUUGUGAUUUUGGUCACGCAGUGAGGGACCGGUUCCUCACUUGAGAGACCGGUCUCUCACAGACCGGUCUCCUCGAGAAGACCGGUCUCUGAGGACGACACAGGUUUUUAAAAAGGACUUUUUGCAAUCCUAGUCUACUUCUAAGUCUUCUAAACAUAUAAAUAAGCUAUGUGGGUCAUCUAAAAGUUUAAGGCUUUGAAUAUUUACUGAUUCUAAACCCUAGAAACUUUUUUUUUUCCGUUUCAAUGCUUUGAUUCACAUAACGAGUUUCUAACAAUCAACAAUCGGCUUGAUUCUUCGUUUUUACUCGAUAACUCAUACGAGAAUCAAGUAGAUUUUUGAUUAAAGGUGAACCCUCAUAGCUUAUGGUAUUCAAAGGUUAAAUCAUCACAAAUCUUCGAUUCUACAAGCUCCGGAAGGAGGUUCGACGCGUGGAUCUCGCGUGAAGCCGAGGAUUCGGUGGACGCUUCGAGGAAUUGAGGCGUUAAUGCUGCGAGGAGUUGCAGCAAGGUCGAUUGGUGGAUUCCUAUCGAUCGAGGACCGGCGAAGAUCACCAUCAACAAGAAAUCGGUAAAUUGAGUCGUGUAUUUUUGUCAAAAUCACUUGUACUCAAGUUUUCUUAGUGGAUUUUCUUCACGUGAUCGGUCCCGUGGGUUUUUCACUCCGAAUUGGAGUUUUUCCACGUUAAAUUUUCGGUGUGCUAUUUUAUUUUUCGCUACUUUGUUUUAUUUGCAUCGAGAUUUUCGAGUUUACAGUAUCUACACCUAUUCACCCCCCUCUAGGUGUUACUUACCUUUUAGAACCUCGGGAUCCAUAUCUUUCACUGGGGAGACUCUGUCCGUAUACAAAGGAAUCCCCGGUCUGUUCGGCGGUCUGUCGGCGGCGCCGCGACCCGGUCCAAAUAGGCGGUUGGUCGCGGGGCGUGACAGAUAAGAUGGUAUCAGAGCAUAAAAUAGAAAAUGGAAAAAAAUGGUUUAGACAGACCUAGGAGACCCUAGGAUAGUGAAACCAUAGGAGAAUAAGGCUCGUGAGAGACGAGGACUUGUGAUUCGUGGCGAAAGGAUUAUGGAUUGGGUUGUGUCAUAACCUCUAAGACGGAUAUUAGAGGUAGAUUCAAGAUAUGGUUUAUUCUUGACCAAGUGUGUUUAUGUUGGGCGCGCACAACAUAAAGCCGAGUGACGAGAAUAGACGUCCUUGUUUGACUUUCGCCUGAUUGGCUUUUGAGCCGGUGCUAGUGGUCUCGUGUUCGACCCAGAGGGUCGAGGACUAAUUGAGUUGUCCUAUUUCAGGAAACGAUGGCACCGCGUAGACGACCUUCAUCCAGAUCGGCGCAGGAGGGGACAAGUGGCGUCCUGAGCAAAUCGACGGCAGCGGAGACUCGGAGCUUCGCGAUCAGUUGGCCACACUCAUUGGAGUGAUGCGGCAACAAGCUGAUGUGGUGCAGCGGCAGCAGGAGGCUGCUAUGCGCCAAGAGGAGCGAAUGGAACGACUCCAAGAGACUGUGGACCGGCUGGUGGCAGCACCAGCUGCGGCUGGUCGAGGACAGCCGGGAGUUGCGGCGGAGCUGUUUCCGUCGGGGUCGGGCGAUCCGACUCCUGUUGGCCCAGAGGUUGCGGCGGAGAGGGAGCGAGCUUUAGCGGCCCUCAUGACUUUCAAGAAGUUUGAUCCGCCUACCUUUGAUGGUGAAGAUGCAGAUCCGUGGGUCGUUGAGAUGUGGAUCGAUUCCAUGGAAACACUCUUCGAGGAUCUGUACACGCUGGAGCGAGACAAAGUGAACCUAGCCGCGCAUUACCUGAAACAAUCGGCGAAGGUGUGGUGGAAAGGCGUCAAGCGAGAUCGACUGCCUAGUCUCCCUCCUAUGACUUGGGAAGAGUUUCGGGGAAUGUUGUUCUCUGCUUAUUUCCCCGAUAGCGAGAAGCGGAAACUUCAGGAGAGGUUUCUUAAGCUGCGGCAAGGAAGUCGCACGGUCAGGCAAUACGAGCGAGAAUUUUCCCGUAUUGUGCAUUGUGUUCCAAACGUGGUGCGGGAUGACAAGGACAAGGCCGACUGCUUUGUGCGUGGACUUCGGCCAGACCUGUACCAGACGGUGCUUGUGCUAAAGUUGCAGACUUUUGCUGAAGUCCUGGAUCGGGCCUUGUGGAUAGAACAAGGCAAUGCAUUCCUGCGGGAGAAGCGUGAGGAACACUACAAGGAAAAAGGGAAAGGACGGCCAGUGAGCGGACACGAUGGUCAAUCAAGUUGCCAACAGACCUCAGUGAGGACGCGCUCUCGAUCUAGAGCUCCGGGGACGUAUCAUAUUCGGUCCUCGGCGAGAUGUGCAAUUUGUGGAGGCCCUCAUUUUCCACAGCAAUGUGAACAGCGAGAGGGCAAGUGCUUCAAGUGUGGGCUGCCGGGCCAUGUGCGGGACGAGUGUCCACAAGGUGGUAACCGGGCCUUGACACUGGCGACGGCCCAUUCCUCCUUGGGACAGCCGGCGGGUGUGCCACCUGCGGCAUGGUCGGGGGAGCGGCCGUUGAGAGUGAUGCAACCAGAGGGUCGAGGACUAAUUGAGUUGUCCUAUUUCAGGAAACGAUGGCACCGCGUAGACGACCUUCAUCCAGAUCGGCGCAGGAGGGGACAAGUGGCGUCCUGAGCAAAUCGACGGCAGCGGAGACUCGGAGCUUCGCGAUCAGUUGGCCACACUCAUUGGAGUGAUGCGGCAACAAGCUGAUGUGGUGCAGCGGCAGUAGGAGGCUGCUAUGCGCCAAGAGGAGCGAAUGGAACGACUCCAAGAGACUGUGGACCGGCUCGUGGCAGCACCAGCUGCGGCUGGUCGAGGACAGCCGGGAGUUGCGGCGGGGCUGUUUCCGUCGGGAUCGGGCGAUCCGACUCCUGUUGGCCCAGAGGUUGCGGCGGAGAGGGAGCGAGCUUUGGCUGCCCUCAUAACUUUCAAGAAGUUUGAUCCGCCUACCUUUGAUGGUGAAGAUGCAGAUCCGUGGGUCGUUGAGAUGUGGAUCGAUUCCAUAGAAACACUCUUGAGGAUCUGUACACGCUGGAGCGAGACAAAGUGAACCUAGCCACGCAUUACCUGAAACAAUCGGCGAAGGUGUGAUGGAAAGGCGUCAAGCGAGAUCGACCGCCUAGUCUCCCUCCUGUGUCAUGGGAAGAGUUUCGGGGAAUGUUGUUCUCGACAUAUUUCCCCGAUAGCGAGAAGCGGAAACUUCAGGAGAGGUUUCUUAAGCUGAAGCAAGGAAGUCGCACGGUCAGGCAAUACGAGCAGGAAUUUUUCCGUAUUGUGCAUUGUGUCCCGAACGUGGUGCGGGAUGACAAGGACAAGGCCGACUACUUUGUGCGUGGACUUCGGCUAGACCUGUAUCAGACGGUGCUUGUGCUUAAGUUGCAGACUUUUGCUGAAGUCCUGGAUCGGGCCUUGUGGAUAGAACAAGGCAAUGCUUUCCUGCGGGAGAAGCGUGAGGAACACUACAGGGAAAAAGGGAAAGAACGGCCAGUGAGUGGACACGAUGGUCAGUCAAGUUCCGAACAGACCUCAGUGAGGACGCGCUCUCGAUCUAGAGCUCCGGGGACGUAUCACAUUCGGUCCUCGGCGAGAUGUGCAAUUUGUGGAGGCCCUCAUUUUCCACAGCAAUGUGAACAGCGAGAGGGCAAGUGCUUCAAGUGUGGGCUGCCGGGCCAUGUGCGGGACGAGUGUCCACAGGGUGAUAACUGGGCCUUGACACUGGCGACGGCCCAUUCCUCUUUGGGACAGCCGGCGGGUGUGCCACCUGCGGCAUAGUCGGGGGAACAGCCGUUGAGAAUGAUGCAACCAGAGGGUUCGCGACGGGCGCCAGGUGGCCAUGGAUAAGCGACCCGAGCUGUUGUGCCUGCCGUUGCUGACUACGUCGUGGCAGGUAUGAGUUAAUUGAGCAAUCAUAUUUUGCAUAGCCUCAAGUUGGUGUAUAGCAUGCUUUCAGCAUUAGUCAGUUGCUACUACUAUUACAUUGCAUAGUAGGGACCGAGAGGUCGGGUAAGUAGGCACCCAAGCAUGCUAACAGGUUGAGAGCCGAUGGUACUAGCAAAUGGCUAGUGGUGAUGUUGGACAGGAAACGAGGCUCUUAAUGGAAACCGAGUGGUGAAAAGACUCUCAAAACGAUGAGUUAGAAAUUUCGAGAGUCGGGCCUUGAUGUUUGGGAACGCCCGAAUAUCCCAAAGGUAUUUCGAAUGCGGAUUCGGUAGAUCGAACGGUGGAGGUGAACCACUGUCGCGAAAUUGGUCGGAUAGUGCCGAGUUUGGCCUGUGGGCCUAAUAGUAUCUCGAGUUGAGGUGGACGAGUUGUGCCCGAGUGGCAGGUGUGCAUAGGCUAAAUUGCCUGAUGCCAGGCUUCGUGUAAGACGCUGUAGAGGUAUAAAGCGC
rnacentral:lncRNA from 1 species